CCUCAUAGCCUGGUUACUCUCUAGGUUUAUAAUCUCCACCCGGCACAGCCAGAAGAGGACUGGCCACCCCUCAUAGCCUGGUUCCUCUCUAGGUUUAUAAUCUCCACCCGGCACAGCCAGAAGAGGACUGGCCCACCCCUCAUAGCCUGGUUCCUCUCUAGGUUUAUAAUCUCCACCCGGCACAGCCAGAAGAGGACUGGCCACCCCUCAUAGCCUGGUUCCUCUCUAGGUUUAUAAUCUCCACCCGGCACAGCCAGAAGAGGACUGGCCACCCCUCAUAGCCUGGUUCCUCUCUAGGUUUAUAAUCUCCACCCGGCACAGCCAGAAGAGGACUGGCCACCCCACAUAGCCUGGUUCCUCUCUAGGUUUAUAAU